GCCAGGCAUGGUGGUGCACACCUGUAGUCCCAGCUACUCGGGAGGCUGAGGCAGGAGAAUUGCUUGAGCCCAGGAGUGCAAGGCUGCAGUAAGCUACGACUCUACCACUCUACUCCAGCCUGGGCAACACAGCGAGACCCUGCCUCUA
ensembl:misc_RNA Metazoa_SRP Metazoan signal recognition particle RNA